CAUCCACAAUGUUGUUCAUGCUAUUAUUCUGCAUCAACAGCAACAACAACAACAACAACAACAACAACCGUUGAGCCAGGUCUCCUUCCAACAGCCUCAACAACAAUAACCAUCAGGCCAGGGCUCCUUCCAGCCAUCUCAGCAAAACCCACAGGCCCAGGGCUCUGUCCAGCCUCAACAACUGCCCCAGUUUGAGGAAAUAAGGAACCUAGCGCUAGAGACGCUACCUGCAAUGUGCAAUGUCUAUAUCCCUCCAUAUUGCACCAUUGCUCCAGUUGGCAUCUUCGGUACUAACUGAGAAGAGAAGAACUCUAGUAGUAGAUAUAUGAUACACCGUUUUCUUAGUCCAUGGUUUGGUCGUUGUAGCGGUGAAAAAAUAAAGUGACAUGCACUAUCAUGUAAGAACCCGAACUAUACUAGUUCAAACAUGGGAAUAAAAGACAAACACAUGUCUUGUCUACAUAUGAUUGUUUGUUUGAGUUCCACUCAUGUGCCCACUCACAAGUUCACCCCUAAUUAUAUAUAUUAUGCAUUAAGUAGAUAUUUAUGUUGCAUUAAUCUAAAGAUAACAAAAUGAGUCUGAAAUUUGAAUUAAAUUGAAGUAUUUCCUUGGACUUUCAAAUGGAGUAUUAUUAAAGUAGUAAGGACUAUCCACAUCCUUGGCUUGCCCUUGAUCAAUUAUUUCCAGAGAAGCAUUCAAUUCAUUAAUCAAUUACAUUGAUUUUUGUGGCUGAUACUUUUCCUCAACAUGAGUAUAUUCAUCGCGGCUACUCCAAAUAGGCAUGAAUGAGGUACCGGUGCUCUGGAGCACUGGUACCUAACUGCUUCUCAUGUGAAGGGGUGGGGGUGCGGGAGAGGUGUUUUUGGUGGGCCAGGGGAGUAAGAAGCGGCCGUGGCAGCGGUCCAGACACCCACAAAGCCCCGUAGUUUGUUUUUGGUUUACAGGAAAAUGCACAUCCAGACCGGCCUGCGGGCCGAUAUAGGACCGUAUUGAAUGGCAAAACAUGUCCGGAUGGUUGCGAGCGGUUUAAGGGUUAGCUUUUGUAACGGCCGGUUAGUUAUGCUAUGGUAAUUCCCUGCUAAUGAUGUCACGUCAGCACGAUUACUGUUGUUAACCUCACAAUGAUUCAAUCCCAUUCAAAUUCAAAUUUAAAAUAAAGGCAAACAUCAAAAGUUUCAAACAUUAAAACUAAAAUCUUCGAGAGGUGAAAAAUAAUGCAUAAGUAAUUAUGGUGGAGAAACCACACUUUUAUAAAAUGUUUAAAUACUCUAAAAAUAAUAAAACAGUGGCUUAAACUAUUAUUUAAAUGCUUUUAAAAUAGUAAAAAUGUUCUAACUAAAUUAAUUGGGUACCAAACUUUUGGUGGCAGUGGUAUAUUUAGUAGAACUAAUUUAGAUGCUAAUAAAACAUAAAAGGAAAGACAAAACAAAUAAAAGUAAAAGGGGGCAACCCCUCGCUGGGCCUCGGCCAAGCUGGCCACUGGGCUAGCUAGGUUGGCCCAACCGCCUCCCUUAACCCCCCACUCCCCAUCGAACCCUAGACCGAUCGCCCCACUUCCCCACACCCCCUCGUCAGCCUCCCCACCUCUCGAUCCCAUCUGGAUCGGGGAGGGGAUCGCCCCCAUCGACCCCGUCGCGGUCGCUGGAUCGCCCGCUCGCCCAUCGCCCGCCGGCGUCGCCGGACCUCCUCCCCGUCGCACGUCUCCGGCUCUCCUCCCCUCUCGCUCCUCUUCCCCGACCCGAUCUGGAUCGGGAAGGGCCAAUGAGCCCAACGCCCCCCUCCAUCGACGCUGUGCUCCAGCACCGCCGCCCGAAGACCUCGCCAUCGCCGGACCUCGCGUCGCCUCCUCGUAUCCCUCCCCGACUCGCCUCCUCAAGCCACGCCGACCCCCUUCUCGGCAACGCUGUGAGCCGCCUCCGUUUCCCUCCUUCUCUUUCCACCGUGUUCACCGCGCCGCCUGCCGUGCCCCUCGCCGCGCGCACGCCCACCACCGCGCCAGCCCCCGCUCCGCGCCCUCUCCUGCACGCUUGUGCGCGCAUGACCCUAGCCGCGCCCACGCCGUGAUCCCCUUGUCCCGCCCGCCUUCGUCCCGCGCUCGCCGCGGCCCCCAUGCUCCCCUGCGCCCUCUUUUGGGGUCGUCGGCUGCCCCUGUCCCGCAGCUCGCUGGCAUGCGUCCCCGCCCGCGCCUCGCCACUGCUCUACUGCUACGCUACUAUUGCGCUGUGGCCGCCGCCGCUUCCCGCUGCUCUGCCAGCGCCAAAGGUCCCGGUUGGCCCUGCCGCUGCUCGCGUUUAACCGCCGGCCUAAGCGGCCUAACCUCCCCCCUCACUAAUGAACCCCCACCGACCGGCUGACACCGGGACCCACAUCCCCUAAUUAACCAUUUAAUAAAUUAAAACUCUUAAAUUAACAUUAGUGUAUGACAUGUGGGUCCCCUAUUAAUUAAACUGAUUUAAUUAAAAUCUAUUAACUUUGAGUCUAUGACAUAUGGGCCCCACU
rnacentral:lncRNA from 1 species